GACAACGCAACAAUUCAGUCAGUUUGUUAUUUUGAACAGCCCCCAAAGAAAAUUACGGAACAGGCGGUCCGUAUUAAAUUUCUUUUUUCCUCAGAUUUCUUUUUUCCACUUUGAUUGCAGCACUCAAACUAAAUGGCCUACCCAUUACUGGGGACCCGGGACCCUACACUGGACCGAAACCAACAGUCGAAAAAGAGAAAUCCUUGGCAGGGAAAAGGAGAAGAGAGAAUGUUUCACCUCAGCGCAGUAGCGGAUCUGUUGAAAAGGAAAUUAAUUCUCAAAAGGAGGCUAUGCCCAAGUAAACUCCUCUCCAGGCAGGGCAACCGGUGACCCAACAAGGGCAGCAGCAAUGGCAGGCGGAUCAACAUCCAUCCGCACCGUCGAAUUUCCCCACAGCAUCCAGCACCGAUCCGGUGAGCCUUGCCAAUCCAUCUCCGCCACCUUAUUUGACUGCGGCUGCCUCGGAACCUCUAAUGAAGAAAGGCAGUUACAAAUCUUGAUUGUUUAAGUUAAAAAUCGAAUGUAAAUUCAGAAAUUGACUGUCGACAAAUCAGAGAAUAAACAUAAACA